GAUGAACGCUGGCGGUAUGCUUAACACAUGCAAGUCGAACGGACUCUUCGGAGUUAGUGGCGGACGGGUGAGUAACGCGUGAGAAUCUGGCUUUGGGUUCGGGACAACCACUGGAAACGGUGGCUAAUACCGGAUGUGCCGAGAGGUAAAAGAGAAAUUGCCUGAAGAUGAGCUCGCGUCUGAUUAGCUAGUUGGUGAGGUAAAGGCUCACCAAGGCAGCGAUCAGUAGCUGGUCUGAGAGGAUGACCAGCCACACUGGGACUGAGACACGGCCCAGACUCCUACGGGAGGCAGCAGGGGGGAAUUUUCCGCAAUGGGCGAAAGCCUGACGGAGCAAUACCGCGUGAGGGAAGAAGGCUCUUGGGUUGUAAACCUCUUUUCUUAGGGAAGAACAAAAUGACGGUACCUAAGGAAUCGGCAUCGGCUAACUCCG
rnacentral:rRNA from 1 species